AUGACAUGAUGAGGACAUAUUUUGAGUAACUCUUUAAAUCUUUCUGAUGCAUCAUAUAGGCUUUCAUCUUCAAGUUUAUGGAAAGAUGUUAUUUCAUUUAUCAAUUU
rnacentral:snoRNA from 1 species